rnacentral:rRNA from 1 species
GAGUUUGAUCCUGGCUCAGAAUCAACGCUGGCGGCGUGCCUAACACAUGCAAGUCGAACGAGAAAGUGGAGCAAUCCAUGAGUAAAGUGGCGCACGGGUGAGUAACACGUGACUAACCUACCUUUGAGCGGGGGAUAACCUAGGGAAACCUGGGCUAAUACCGCAUAAUACCUACGGGUCAAAGCGAGCAAUCGCACUUAAAGAGGGGGUCGCGGCAGAUUAGUUAGUUGGUGAGGUAAUGGCUCACCAAGACGAUGAUCUGUAUCCGGCCUGAGAGGGCGCACGGACACACUGGAACUGAAACACGGUCCAGACUCCUACGGGAGGCAGCAGUGGGGAAUUUUGCGCAAUGGGGGAAACCCUGACGCAGCAACGCCGCGUGGAGGAUGAAAUCCCUUGGGAUGUAAACUCCUUUCGAUCGGGACGAUAAUGACGGUACCGAUAGAAGAAGCCCCGGCUAACUUCGUGCCAGCAGCCGCGGUAAUACG